UAAUACCGGCGGCUCGAGUGGUGGCCGAUAUUAUUGAGUCUAAAGGGUCCGUAGCUGGCUUUGCAAGUCCCCUGGGAAAUCCAGCGGCUUAACCGUUGGUCGUCCGGGGGGUACUACAUUGCUUGGGACUGGGAGAGGUAGGAGGUACUCAGGGGGUAGGAGUGAAAUCCUGUAAUCCUUUGGGGACCACCGGUGGCGAAGGCGUCCUACCAGAACAGGUCCGACGGUGAGGGACGAAAGCUAGGGGCACGAACCGGAUUAGAUACCCGGGUAGUCCUAGCCGUAAACGAUGCUCGCUAGGUGUCACAACAGUCGUGAACUGUUGUGGUGCCGUAGGGAAGCCGUGAAGCGAGCCACUUGGGAAGUACGACCGCAAGGUUGAAACUUAAAUGAAUUGACGG
rnacentral:rRNA from 1 species